UUUUUAGAGGAUUUGAUCCUGGUCCAGGAUGAACGCUGGCGGCGUGGAUAAGGCAUGCAAGUCGAACGGUGCAAUUGCGAUUACAUCAAGAUUGCAUAGUGGCGAACGAGUUAGUAACACCCUAGUACGUACCCCAGAGACGGGCAUAACUAGCCGAAAGGUUGGCUAAUUCCCGAUGGUCUCUUACGAGUAAAUCCCGCAAGGGGCUCUGGGAGCGGCUUAGGUCUGAUCAGCUUGUUGGUGAGGUAAUGGCCCACCAAGGCUAUGACCAGUAGGGGAGGUGAGAGCCUGUUCCCCAACGACGCAACUGAGACACGGUGCGUACUCCUACGGGAGGCAGCAGUCGAGAAUAUUCCACAAUGGGCGAAAGCCUGAUGGAGCGACGCCGCGUGCAGGAUGAACCCCUUCGGGGCGUAAACUGCUUUUCUGCCGGAGAAAGUCGCAAGAUUGAUAGUACGGCAGGAAUAAGUGGCUGCAAACUUCGUGCCAGCAGCCGCGGUAAUACGAAGGCCACAAGCGUUAUCCGGAUUUAUUGGGCGUAAAGGGCGCGUAGGGGGUUUCGCAAGUUUUUGGUCAAAUGUCAGGGCUUAACCCUGGCUUCGCCAAAAAAACUGCGAGACUAGAAGGAGUUAGGGGCAGAUGGAACGCACGGUGUAGGGGUGAAAUCCGUUGAUAUCGUGCGGAACACCAAAGGCGAAGGCAUUCUGCUGGGACUCUCUUGACCCUGAGGCGCGAAAGCGUGGGGAGCAAAAAGGAUUAGAUACCCUUGUAGUCCACGCCCUAAACGAUGCAAACUAGCUGUUUCGAGUAUCGACCCUCGGAGUGGCGUAGCUAACGCGUUAAGUUUGCCGCCUGGGAAGUACGGUCGCAAGACUAAAACUCAAAGGAAUAGACGGGGACUCGCACAAGCGGUGGAGUAUGUGGUUUAAUUCGACGGUAAACGAGAAACCUUACCAGGGCUUGAAAUUCUGACGACGGUUUUCCGAAAGGAGAACUUUCUCACAAGGACGUCAGGACAGGUGCUGCAUGGUUGCCGUCAGCAUGUGCCGUGAGGCGCUCCCUUAAAUGGGGUAACAUGCGCAACCCUUGUCUUCUGUUACAAGUGUCAGAAGAGACUGCUGUCGUAUAGACAGAGGAAGGUGAGGAUGACGUCAAAUCCGCAUGGCCCUUUGAUGCCCUGGGCUACACACAUACUACAAUGGUUGAUACAAAGGGUUGCCAAGCCGUAAGGCGGAGCUAAUCCCAGAAAAUCGACCUCAGUUCAGAUUGACGGCUGCAACUUGCCGUCAUGAAGUCGGAAUCGCUAGUAAUCGCGGAUCAGCAGGCCGCGGUGAAUACGUUCUCGAGUCCUGUACUCACCGCCCGUCAAACCAAGGGAGCCGGGAGUGGAUGAAGUCUGCUUUUAGCGGAUCAGUUCAAGCUCGGUGACACGGGUUAAGUCGUAACAAGGCACGGGUAGCGGAAGCUGCUCGUGGAUCUAUUAAAUU
rfam:Parcubacteria (Jorgensenbacteria) bacterium GW2011_GWA1_48_11 TY23_C0001, whole genome shotgun sequence.